rnacentral:misc_RNA from 1 species
GAUGAAGAACGUAGCAAAAUGCGAUAAGUAAUGUGAAUUGCAGAAUUCAGUGAAUCAUCGAAUCUUUGAACGCACAUUGCGCCCGCCAGUAUUCUGGCGGGCAUGCCUGUUCGAGCGUCAUUUCAACCAUCAAGCCCCCGGCUUGUGUUGGGGACCUGCGGCUGCCGCAGGCCCUGAAAACCAGUGGCGGGCUCGCUAGUCACUCCGAGCGUAGUAGUUACAUCUCGCUCAGGGCGUGCUGCGGGUUCCGGCCGUUAAAAGCCUUAUUUACCCAAGGUUGACCUCGGAUCAGGUAGGAAGACCCGCUGAACUUAAGCAUAUCAAUAAGCGGAGGA